CUCCCUCUUCUUCCAUCCCACACGACAAGCGCGCGGCAGAGGGCGGAAAGGGCGACCACCAUCUCUCUCUUCUCCCUCGCUGCGCUACACCUCACCCACCGCCACUUUCUCUCCCCGCCCCCCGGCAUGGCCUCACUUUUCCAGUCUCUCGCCUCCAAGUAGGCGGAUGCCUUAAUCGUCUCCGGGGCCGGUGGGGCGCGGGGAGCGGGCUGCUCUCGGUGCUCGACCGGGCGCUCACCGUCGAGAAGCAGUACUGCCGCCAGCGUGCGCAGGAGCAGCGCAAGGGCAUUGGAGGCGGAGGGUUCUGGCAUAGAGGGGAUCUCGGUGGGCGGGCACGAGGCAUUCAUCACUGCGCUGUCCCCAUACUGCGGCAGUGGUUGAUUCAGCAACGAUCUGUACACUGCCUGACAUUUUUUGUUUGAGCAGCUUGAGUAUUAUCUUAAUCUAAUUGCUUGUCAAGUUGCUAACUGGAGUCUUCAGAUUCUUAGUCACAUUGUACGUCAGUAAAUCUGAUGAGUGACACCAUUGAGUUUUCAUCCGAAAGUUUAAUCUAGAUCGCUAGAGAAUGAUCCUGAUACAUCGAAACAAUCUGAGUUAUUCACUGUGCGAUUACUUAGACCAGGCACCGGUCCUGUACCUUGCUUCUGUAAGUAUUCCACAAAUUGUGUUUUUUCCCAGGUUGGUUCAGUAAUGAUACUGACUAAUUGCAAACAUAUCUGAUUUAUUCCUAUGUAGUUCACUGCCUGCUAUUAAUUAUGUUUCUUUUCCUUCCUCAGGAUCCACAAAUUGUCAAGCGCACAUGGUACAACCAUCAAGUUCUGGGAUAUUAGCUGGCUUCAAGUUUUCAAGUGCAGGCAAUCUUUUAACAAAGGAUGGAUGCGAGUAGUGAGAUAUGGUAAAUACCAUGGAUCUAUGUUCACUGAAGAUAAGUUCUCUUCCUGAAACUUACAAGCAUAAACAUCCUUACUCAACUCAAAGCUAAGCACGGUUAUAAACAAGAUACUUUAAUAUAAGCAAUACUGCUUGAAUUUAUAUCAGUUUCCAACACUAUCCGAGUCUUUCAGCCAUUCUCUAAAAAUAAAAAUAAACACCUUGAGUGCUUUCUUACCAGUGCCGAGAAAUCAAGCUUGGUUUUUUUCUAAACUUAUUAUAAUCCAGUAUUUCAUAUGCCAUCUAUUGAUCCAAGGUCUUUACAGGGAAAACCAUGGCACUUUUAAUGCAAGUUCGCUGAACGACUACCAUAUCUUUAUGUAGCAUUUGAUUGCUUGGAUGAAGUUGGAUGGGAGAUCCCCAUCCAGCUUUUAAAAGCCAUGAUUUUGUUUCGUUGGUUGGGUGGACAAGAUAGGUUUAUAUACCAUUAGAACUAAUUUAGCUCCAACCAGGGCAAAACCAUGUGAUUACGAAACUGAGUGAGCUGAGCCAUUUCUUGCUUGCACUGAUUAAGCUUAAAUUUCCAUGGGAUAUUCAUUUCUUAAGUAAUAAGGAAUUCCAUGCAAAAUUCUGCACCGAGCAUGAGCCUUCAAAAUUAAAAAUAAUAGUCUUUGGUGAUCCAAUGAGAAGGAAAUUUAAGCCAACAACGUUGCUUCUUGGUGGCUCUGCUGCCCCCAAUGCUGCUGCUCUUGGAUCAUUACUCAAGCAUAUCUUCCAUACAUGAUCGUUGGUGUAGGUGUUGCAGGUUCUUCAGUGCAGUAUACAUUGGCAAACUGGGAGCACACUUGAAUUACAUGAAUACAUUUCUUCAGAGAGCCCAUUGCUGUGUGCAGAAUAUAUUUCUUCAGAUAACGUUGAAAAAGAACAUCCAGACGAAUAGCGUUGAGAGGCAAUGAGCUUAUUUUGUUAUGAGUUGGUUUAUGUUUCCAUCCUUCUAGAUUUGUUCUAAGAGAACGGAGUUGAAUAUAAUGAAUGAUGCGCUCAGCAGACAGGCACAACUUUUGCCAGUAGGUUCAACAUUUGUACCCCAUGACUAUGUUUCCAGAACCGAUUGGGACAUUCCCCCUUUUCUUUAGAGAUGAAGGGAUCAUUUGUACUCUCUCUGCCAUGCCUGUGUGCAUGA